rnacentral:misc_RNA from 1 species
GACUACGAAUCAGUUGAAAUCGAGAUAACAAACCGACAAGCCGACCGAGCGGGAGCUGUCUCGCCGAUUUCUAAUUUGCAACAGCAAAAAUCCAAAUAAAUUAGCAGAGUGCCAGUGAAGUGAGUGAGCGUGAGUGCAGCAAGUCGAAAUAUAAAUAUUGUCAUUUACGCCGUUUCAAAUUAUAUUUCCGCGAGCAUUUCUCAGCGCUCUGUUUAAGGCUAAUCGAAAGUGAACCCAAAAUAUAUUAUUCCAAGUGAAAAGGACUAGCCCAAAGAUACACACACACACGCACCGAAAAAUACCGACAGAUCUGUAGUCCUUUUCGAGUUUUCCCGUGAGUGCAACAAAUACAGACACACCACACAUACAUACACACACACACUCGUUCGACUUUCAAUAUGGCGGAUGUCCUGGAGAAAAGCUCACUGCUGGAUGCUGUGCCACCACUAGGCGACCCCCACCCACCGCUGCCCCACCAGCAGCUGCAACAGGAAGCAGCAGCAGCAGCAAAUGCCGCACCACCAGCACCACCGCAGCAGCAACAACCACCACCGCAUCAGCAGCAGCAGCCGCAACAACAGCAACUGCAACAGAAGCCAGCAAAUGCGAGGGCUAAUCAGGAUCAAAAAGAGGGUGACAAUGACAGCGGCGUUGAUGAGUCCACUCAGGAGAAGGAUCGCAACGGACCCAACUCGCCCAGUUCGCCCGUGAAAACGCCCACAUCGACCUCAUCGAAGCCGGACAAGUCGGGCACGUCGCGUCCACCGAGUGCCACGCCCUCGAACAAGUCAGCCCCCAAGUCGCGCAGCGCCUCCAAGAACCGCUUGCUCCUCAAGACCCCAGAGCCCGAGCCAGUCAAGAAAGUUCCAAUGAACAAGGUACAAGUCGGACAUGCGCCUUCACCCAAUCUGAAGGCGGUGCGCUCCAAGAUCGGAUCCCUGGACAAUGCCACCUAUAAGCCGGGUGGCGGCCACGUGAAAAUCGAGUCCAAGAAGAUCGACAUCAAGGCGGCACCGCGCAUCGAGGCCAAGAACGACAAGUACAUGCCAAAGGGCGGCGAGAAGAAGAUAGUUACAACAAAGUUGCAGUGGAACGCCAAGUCCAAAAUUGGUUCGCUGGAGAAUGCCGCCCACAAGCCGGGAGGCGGGGACAAGAAGAUCGAGACCCUGAAGAUGGACUUCAAGGACAAGGCCAAGCCGAAGGUGGGCUCGACGGCCAAUGUGAAGCAUCAGCCGGGUGGCGGAGACAUCAAGGAUAACAACCCGAAGGAUAUCCAAACGCAAAAACUAGAAAUUAAGGCACAAAGCAAAGUUGGCUCUUUGGAUAAUGUAAAGCACAAGCCCGGUGGCGGUGAGAAGAAGAUUUUCGAUGAUAAGGAUUAUUUGAAAAAUGUUGAACACUCUGUUGCACUGACAACACCACCAACACAGGAAUAUAUAUACAAUUUUUAUUAGGCUAGUCAUACGAAAACUAAGUGCAUUAAAUUCGAAAUUCGUACCGAGUUGCGUCCAUUAGAGUUAUUUAUCGCCUAUCGCUACUUUUAACUACCACAUCAUAUAAUCGAGUUAUCCGAAUGCAAUGCGGUUUUAAACAAUAUAGAAACAUUCGAUCCGAUCGAUUCGAUUUGAUCACGCAAAUCCCAGUCCACUACCAUCCAUGACGGCUUCUGGCGCUGAUGAAAAUUUAAAUCAACAAAGCUAAAUGCCGAAAUGCCCGAAAUGCAUGUCGAGC